rnacentral:misc_RNA from 1 species
GAUGAAGAACGCAGCGAAAUGCGAUAAGUAAUGUGAAUUGCAGAAUUCAGUGAAUCAUCGAAUCUUUGAACGCACCUUGCGCUCCUUGGUAUUCCGAGGAGCAUGCCUGUUUGAGUGUCAUUAAUAUAUCAACCUCUUCAGCUUAUGCUUGUUGAGUGUUGGAUGGUGGGGGUUUGCUGGUGUCUUAUGAAGUCAGCUCCUCUGAAAUGCAUUGGCGGAACAAUUUGUUGACCGUUCAUUGGUGUGAUAAAAAUAUCUACGCUAUUGACGUCAGUCAGUUCAGCUUCUAACAGUCCAUUGACUUGGACAAAUUUUUCAUUAAUGUGACCUCAAAUCAGGUAGGACUACCCGCUGAACUUAAGCAUAUCAAUAAGCGGAGGA